UGGGGAAUCUUGCACAAUGGACGAAAGUCUGAUGCAGCAACGCCGCGUGGGGGAUGAAGCUUCUCGGAGUGUAAACCCCUUUCGACCCGGAAGAAUGCCCGCAAGGGUUUGACGGUACGGGUAUAAGAAGCCCCGGCUAACUACGUGCCAGCAGCCGCGGUAAUACGUAGGGGGCCAGCGUUGCUCGGAAUUACUGGGCGUAAAGGGUCCGUAGGCGGUGUGGCAAGUCGGGAGUGAAAUCUCUGGGCUUAACCCAGAGGCUGCUUCCGAAACUGCCAUGCUAGAGUGUGAGAGAGGCGAGUGGAAUUACGGGUGUAGCGGUGAAAUGCGUAGAUAUCCGUAGGAACAUCCGAGGCGAAGGCGGCUCGCUGGAUCACAACUGACGCUGAGGGACGAAAGCUAGGGGAGCAAACAGGAUUAGAUACCCUGGUAGUCCUAGCCCUAAACCAUCAGGACUUGGGGUGUGCCCUGUACGGGGCACGUCCCGUAGCUAACGCGUUAAGUCCUGCGCCUGGGGAGUACGGUCGCAAGGCUG
rnacentral:rRNA from 1 species